CCCACUUCAGAAGAUAGUAGGCAGCAUUCCUUGCCGGAGCAUGGCUCUCAAGGGGAGCCUGCCGAGCUGGCUUCACAGCGUGGGUUAUAAGACUGCCCUGAGCCCUGGGAAUUGGGCCCCCCCAGUCAGUGACGCUGCCACUCCAUGCUGGAUACCCUUUCAAGGGGACUUGCGGGUUUCUGUCUAAGGACUAUAAUUUCGCAGAAGCCCAGGCUGGUUAAUUUCAGGUGGCCUUGUUCUUCCAUGUGUACCCUGCUGGUAGGAAUAUUUUAAUUCCAUCUGAUCCCUGGAGUGCAUAACCUGAGAAGCUGAUGAGCUCUUCAGAGUAUUGAGGUUGAUGUGCACAGAAAUGAAGAAAGAUUUGUGUGAGACAUUAUUCUCAUGUCUUGCUCAGCCUCUCUCUUCUUUGCUCACUCUCUCCCCUGACCUACUCAAUUUUCCUUAGCCUAACGACUGUCUGCUUCUUGCCUCCUCGGAAAAUCAUGCAGUGGCUUUAGUAUGGAUAUAUUCCUGAUCUGCCUGUGAGAUUCUGCUGUGCCAAACCCUUCCUUCAGAACAAUAACAUGAAGAUGAAAGAGGUCGAUCCGCUCUGAUGCAUGUAUUCUCUCUGGCAUGGGACUAGAUUUACCUCAUGCUUCCUAAAGCGAGAAGCAAAAUUCAGUAGAAGCUGGUUGGAAGGGUUGGGGAGACCAAAUGGAAGGGUAAAGAAGAGCAGACCUUGUCCUCCUACCCCUGUGCCUCAAGUCUGAAGCGGAACCAAGAGAAACAGUGGUGUGGCUUUACUCAGGGUCAGCAGGCCUGGCCUCUGGUGUGAACCCAGGCAAAGUGCUCCCCAUCCUGGAGGGAAGGGUUAAGGACCAGCGGCAAGUCUGUCCUUUGGUCUGAGAUGCUACGUGGCAGACAACAAGGUAUCCCGCUACCUUCAGCAUCAGACGCGGCAUCCGGUGGCUGC
rnacentral:lncRNA from 1 species